UAACAACCUUGGAAUUGAUGUCCUCCAAUCUGCCUUUGAAGGUUAUAAUGCUUGUAUUUUUGCCUAUGGACAGACUGGAUCUGGGAAGUCUUAUACAAUGAUGGGAAAUGCUGGAGAUACUGGAUUAAUACCUCGGAUCUGUGAAGGAUUAUUCAACCGAGUAAAUGAGAAAACAAGAUGGAAUGAAGCCUCCUUUCGAACAGAGGUCAGUUACCUGGAAAUUUACAAUGAGCGUGUCAGGGAUUUAUUGAGGCGCAAGUCUUCAGAAACAAAUAAUUUAAGAAUUCGUGAACAUCCAAAGGAGGGACCUUAUG